UUGUAGGCUGCAACUCGCCUACAUGAAGUCGGAAUCGCUAGUAAUCGCGGAUCAGCAUGCCGCGGUGAAUACGUUCCCGGGCCUUGUACACACCGCCCGUCACACCAUGAGAGUUUGUAACACCCAAAGCCGGUGGGGUAACCUUUUCGAGCCAGCCGUCUAAGGUGGGACAGAUGAUUGGGGUGAAGUCGUAACAAGGUAUC
rnacentral:rRNA from 1 species